UUUGUUUUUAUUUGGGGGGCAGGUAAUCAGGUUUAUUUGUUUAUUUUAACGGAGGUGCGGGGGAUGGAACCGAGGACCUCCUGCCUGCUGAGCACAUGCUCUGCCCCUGAGCUGCGCCCUCCCCCUCCACUUCUCUAUUUCACAACACUGUUGCUUUGAAGAGCCCAGCCAGCAGCCUUGCAGGUUCUUUCGAUGUGUACUUUGUUUCCUCAUGGUUGGGUCCUGGCUAAACACCCUCUGCAGGAAGACCACGCGGGGAGAUGUGGUGUGGGAGGAAUCCUGGGUGUCAGCCAUGCCAGACUCGGCACCAGCUGCUGGAGCUCCCCGGGAAGGGAGGUGCGUGCCCUCGGGGCUCCUUCCUGUCCUCUUCACACAAGGAAACAGGCUGCUUGACCUGAGCUGCCUGGUCUCGGCGGGCAGCCACCCAUCCCCAGAAGGGGCAUGUCUGGAACUCUCCAGGGAGCCGCACCCAGACCAGGGUCUUCAGAGCCUCUCCUGGGACCAGAUUUCCUGACCCAAGUGCCACGAACCCCUGGGGAAAGCUCUUCCAGCUCCACUGGGUGGGCAGGCCAUGUCUUCCCCUGAAAUGCAGCCGGAAGAUGCAGGAGAGGGUGAGGGGAGGACCCCGGGCCUGGGUCCCACCCGUUCCCCUUUUCCCAGUUACUCUCAGCUCCUUCUCUGAAAGGCGCCUUCAGAAUCUGAGAACAAAUCCCCAGCAGUCACCUUUCUUCACUUUGCCGUCCUGGCUCCCUGCCCUUAACCAGGCACGGCCUCCCCCUUAUCAACAGCCCUACCAGAGUGAUGCAUUUUUUUACCAUCAAUGGACCUACACUGACUCAUCUCCAUCCCCAGAGUCCGCAGUUUACAUCAGGAUUCACUCUGAGGGUUGUACCUUCCGUGAGUCUGGACAAACAUGCGACGACAGGUCCCCGCCAGUGCGGUACCACGCAGAGCUGUUUCUCGGCCCUAGAAGCCCUCUGUGCUCCCCGUCUUCAUGCCUCUCUCCCCACUCCCACUCCGGACAACCACUCCUCUUGUCACUGUGUCCAUAGGUUCACCUUUUUCAGGAUGUCACAGAGUGGGGCUCACACAAAGCGUAGCCUUUUCAGAUUGACUUCCUUCCCUUAGUCACAUAGAUUUAAAGCUCCUCACGUCUUCUCACGGAUUGGCAGCUCAUUUCUUUCUAACGCUGAGUAACUGUUGUCUGCAGUUUAUUUACCCACUCAUCUACUGAAAGACAUCUUGGUUGCCCCUGUCCAGAGUGUUGUUGCCGCUACAGGAAUCACAUGAUGCAGAACACGUACAGCAGCAGCAUUGCCAGAAAAGCCGGGUCGUGGGUGAGGAGAGCUCGGCCGGUCCCCUCGAUGGCCACGCCGAGCCCUGCAGGAACGUGGGAGGAAGGGUUUAUUCACUGGGUGGAAUCCCCUCGGGCCUGACCCACAAGUGUCGUGUUCUGUGUGCCUGGCACGCCCGAGACACGCAAAGCCGCCCUCUGAUCCUUUUCAUUGGCCUCGGAUGGAGCGAGGACCUCUGAGUGUGUGAUGUCCCCGCCUGCUGACAACAGACAACAACUGGUGUCCAGCCAGCGCCUCUGGGGCCCCCAGCCCAGCUCCGACCGCAGCGCGGCUGCUCCCUCCGAGCAAAGCCUCCCCAGGCUGGUGAUGGCCAGGCCCCUUUCAGGUCCUCCAGCCUCUCCUCCCGCUGGGAACCCACGGCCGCGUUUGGCCACUCCAUCCCUGACCUCACCAUCUCCCUUGGCCUUGGAGACUCCGUGGGUUCCCCCAGGAGACUGUGGAGAAGUGAGUGGUCCAUGGAGGAGACCACGAAUGGGUCACUUGGUUUCCCCCGGAGAAGCCGAUGCUGGUGCUGAGUGGGCCCGAGUUGGAGCUGAGCACCCGCAGGGCACAUCCUCGGUCUGGUGGGGGAGAGAGGACGGCCGGGUAUCUGGCAAUUCUUCCCACUCUGGGACAGAGCUGCAGAGGCGGCAGCUGGGGGUGGGGGUGGUUCAGAGGCUAGGAGCGGGGCCCAGGCUGACCUGCUGACUCCUUCCUCUGUCCCUCUCAACACUUCACAGAACCUCUCUGGGCCUCAGCUUCUUUACCUAUCAUCUGAGUUUAUCAUAAGACCUACUUGCAGGGUGACAGGGAGGAAUCGUGCACCAAUGCACGUGGGGCCCCAAACGCAGGGAGCAGAGCACCCAGGGCACCGUGCCCAUUGGCCAAGCCACCUCCAGGGAGGGCCCGUCAGUGUGUCGUCCAAACCGCAGGGGUGUCUUUGACCUGCACCCCAUGGAUACGCCGGCCCAUGUGCAGUGAUGGCGACUCGGGCCCGCCACACAGCAUCCCAAAGAGGGUGAAGCAUGACGCCCGUUGCUGACCCGGAAGGUGCCACCUGCCUGCAGCUCUCUGUGGCCCCAGGAUGCAGGAUUCUGGACCCUGUGCACGUGUGACCGAGGGGAGUAACAGAGUUCAAACUUCUAAGAAAGUGUUGGCUGGGUAGGGAGCGUUUGUGGCAAAGUUUUGAAACUGGAGGUUGCUGGUGGAGACAUGACGUCGUGGACGUGGAAACGCUGAGUCGUGCACUUGGAAAUGGUUGUGACUGUCACCCAAGAGCAAAAUAAAGACAGGGAGCUUACUGCUCCCGGGGGCUGCCUGAUGCAGGCCUGUGACCUCUGACUGUGGAAAUGGAUGAACAGAAGGAGCAUGGGUCAGAGGUCAGGAGGCUCCAAAGUCACCCCCAGCCUCCCUGCUGCCCUUGGGUUGGGGGAGGAGUCAGGGUUGGGGGAGGGGUGUGAGAAGUGGGCAGAGUGUCCCCUCAAAUAAACACAUCUA